AGAGCUCAAAUUUGAAAUCUGGCGGUCUACGGCCGUCCGAGUUGUAAUCUAGAGAGGUGUUUUCCGCGCCGGACCGUGUACAAGUCCCUUGGAACAGGGCGUCAUAGAGGGUGAGAAUCCCGUCCAUGACACGGACUCGCGGCGCUCUGCGAUACACCUUCAAAGAGUCGAGUUGUUUGGGAAUGCAGCUCAAAACGGGUGGUAAAUUCCAUCUAAAGCUAAAUACAGGCGAGAGACCGAUAGCGAA
rnacentral:rRNA from 1 species